rnacentral:rRNA from 1 species
CCUACGGGAGGCAGCAGUGAGGAAUAUUGGUCAAUGGGCGCGAGCCUGAACCAGCCAAGUAGCGUGAAGGAUGACUGCCCUACGGGUUGUAACCUUCUUUUAUAAAGGAAUCAAGUGAGGCACGUGUGCCUUUUUGUAUGUACUUUAUGAAUAAGGAUCGUCUAACUCCGUGCCAGCAGCCGCGGUAAUACGGCGGAUCCGAGCGUUUUCCGGAUUUAUUGUGUUUAAAGGGAGCGUAGAUGGGGUGUUAAGUCAGUUGUGAAAGUAUGCGGCUCAACCGUAGAAUUGCAAUUGUUACUGGCAGUCUUGAGUACAGUUGAGGUAGGCGGAAUUCGUGGUGUAGCGGUGAAAUGCUUAGAUAUCACGAAGAACUCCGAUUGCGAAGGCAGCUUACUAAACUGCCACUGACAUUGAUGCUCGAAAGUGUGGGUAUCAAACAGGAUUAGAUACCCUAGUAGUC